rnacentral:rRNA from 1 species
CCUACGGGAGGCUGCAGUAGGGAAUCUUCCACAAUGGGCGAAAGCCUGAUGGAGCAACGCCGCGUGGGUGAAGAAGGUCUUCGGAUCGUAAAACCCUGUUGUUAGAGAAGAAAGUGCGUGAGAGUAACUGUUCACGUUUCGACGGUAUCUAACCAGAAAGCCACGGCUAACUACGUGCCAGCAGCCGCGGUAAUCCGUCGGUGGCAAGCGUUAUCCGGAUUUAUUGGGCGUAAAGGGAACGCAGGCGGGCUUUUAAGUCUGAUGUGAACGCCUUCGGCUUAACCGGAGUAGUGCAUUGGAUACUGGGAGACUUGAGUGCAGAAGAGGAGAGUGGAACUCGAGGUGUAGCGGUGAAAUGCGUAGAUAUAUGGAAGAACACCAGUGGCGAAAGCGGCUCACUGGUCUGUAACUGACGCUGAGGUUCGAAAGCGUGGGUAGCAAACAGGAUUAGAUACCCCAGUAGUC